CGAUCCUCAGCACCACAUAAAUACAAAAUAAAGGUAUGAUGUCCACCUACAACUAAAACACAACAAAACAAAACAAACCACCACAAUGAAACACUGUUUUACUCACCAGAUUGAUUGACCGACUGACAGGAGCACUAUGCCAGCAGACCUGAGGCUGCAGAACAAGAAGCAUGGUCAGGUGCUGGAGGAGUGACAGGUACAGUAGGAUCUUGGUAAAUAUUUUGCUAAAUCAAGUGCAGAACGGGUGUAGAACAGGGAGCAAUCCCACAGCCUGGGUUGAAUGUGGUCUGCUGGCAUAUUUUAUUUGCUUUCACAGCGUUCACCAAAUGAACUGAUUGCUAAGAGUGUUAAAUCAGGAGAUUGAUUUCACAACUUCUCUUGAAAAAUAGUCAUUUCUGGCAGCUCUUGGCCCAGUCUACAAUGGCCAACCCUUGGCUGGAGCUGGGCAGCAACUGUGGCCACACCCCCAUGGCUCCCCUGCCUCCCACACUGGGGCUGGCUCAACUAGAGGCACAAAGCCUGUCCCUCCAGGACUGGGGAUUUAAUGGGAUCUACAUUCCUGGGAAUAAAAUCCAGAGACUGGAAUGACCAGCUUUGUCUUAGGACAUGGGACAAUUUCUUCAGGGAGAUACUGACAUCCUAUAAUCCCAUGUCCUUAAAACCAUAUAGGGCUUGGGCUGGGGAUAUAGUUUGGUUGGUAGAGUGUUUGCCUUUCAUGCACAAGGCCCUGGGUUCAAUCCCCAGCAUCACAAAAAAACAAACAAAAAACCCCCCUAUAGGGUUGAUGCUAUAAUUGACCUCCCCCUGCCCUGCCCCAGUACUGAGGUUGCAACUCAGGGGCACUCUACCACUGAGCUACAUGCCAAGCCCUUUCUUCUUUGAGUCAGGGUCUCGCUGAGUUGCUGAGGCUGCCCUCAAACUUUCAAUCCUCCUACCUCAGGCUCAGUAGCUAAGAUCAUAGGCCUGCGCCCCUGUGUCUUUCUAUAAAUCAACAUUUUUCACAGAAAAACCGAGGCUCAAAGAAGUUAAGAAAUUUGCCCAAUUGGUGGCUCAGCUGAAAUGUGAGCUCAGGAAUCUCUGGGUUAGCUAAUAUUGAUUAACUACAUUCAUAUGCUAAGCACUUAUUGAGUGAGAUACUUGGCUCCCACUGCAGGCAGCCCUGGGAGACAGAAGCAACUGCCAUUCAUUCCCAUCUUCCUUGUGAGAAAGCUGGGGUUCAGAAGCUGCUGAGUGUAAAGGUCAGCGGUAGUUCUGGGUUUGGAACCCAGUGAUCUCACUACACUGGCUGAAUCUCAGACACUGUCCCAUCUGCCCCUGGUGAUUCUGCAGUGUCCCCACCUAACCAACUCACCAGUUCCCUCUUCACACUCACCACUGCUAACAUUUCAGUGCCUUUCUUUCAAGGCAGAAACAUUUUCUGUGUUUGCUUUUAAUACCCAAAUGGGAUUCCACGUGCUCUGCAAUGUGCUGUGCCCUCUCUUAACAAUGUGCUGUGGUGCAUUUCCCAUAUCAUCUAGGGACAGACUGGAAUUUAUUUUACUUAUAGCAAUAAGUAUGUGGGUUUCCCCAGGUUUUCCUUAUUUAAAGAGAACUAAUGCAUUGCCAAGGACAUUGACAUUGUAAUCCCAGAAACUCAACUCAGGAGGCUGAGGUAGGGGGACUGCUAGUUCAAGGCCUACCUCUGUAACUUAGUGAGAUUGUCUCAAAAUUUAAAAUAAUAAUAAUAAUAAUAAUAAUAAUGUAAAGGACUAGGGAUAUAACUCAGUGGUAGUGUCCCUGGGUUCAAUCCCUAUUACUGGGGAAAAAUGCAUCAAACAUCCUCAUCUACUUAACUUUGUGCACUUGAACAUUUAUUUCUGCAGGACAAUUCCAAGGAGAAUCCUGGGGUAAAGGUCAUGCAUAUGUAUGACUCUGAUACUGUCAAACUGCCUCCAGAAAGACUCUACCAAUGCAUAGUUCCACCAACACUGUGUGAAAGUGUUUUCCACACCCUUGCCUGCACUGGGCGUAUUUUCCCUUUGCUUUCUCAAGCUGCUUUGUUAUUGUUAUAAUCAGUUCAGUGUCACCAGUUGAUUACAACUAUAAAAGGAACAAAACAAAAUAAUCUAUGUCUAGGAAACACACCAAGAUGAUUGAUGGCAAUGAUUCAAUUUAUGUGGGCAAUGAUACAAUUGGUUACACUUUUUUUCAAUUUUUCCCAUUUUUUUCCCCCUAGUGCUGAGAAUUGAACCCAGGGCCUCAACUCUUGCUAGGCAAGUGCUCUACCAUUGACCUAUACCCCCAGCCCUCCUCAUGUUCUUAAAUGAAUGUUGCUUUCAUAACAGUUGGGAAAAUAACCUCCCUGCCUCCUUCCCUAUUUUUUUUUAAGAGAGAGAGAGAAAUAAUUUUUUUAAUAUUUAUUUUUUAGUUUUCGGCGGACACAACAUCUUUCUUUGUAUGUGGUGCUGAGGAUCGAACCCGGGCCCCACGCAUGCCAGGCGAGCGCACUACUGCUUGAGCCACAUCCCCAGCCCUCCCUAUUUAUUUUAAAAACAGGUCUAGGGGUCUGGGAAUAUAGCUCAGUUGGUAGAGUGCUUGCUUUGUAUGCACAAGGCCCUGGGUUCGAUCCCCAACACCACCAAAAAAUAAAAGCAAAAAAACAGGUCUAGAGUGUCAGUCUUUGGGGCAGCAUGGAGGCGGGGGCUAAGGAGACUGUUCCCUUGGCCACAGGCCCCGCCCACACAGUGGUAAAGAAAUGAAAGUAACUGGGAUUACUAAGGGUCUGAGGCAAGGAGGGGACUGGGGGAACCCUGGGCCGGAACAGUCAGCAGCCAACAAAGAUCAGACAUUUUGAGAACCAUUAGAGGAACCCUCCCUAAAGCACUCUCCCUGUUCCAGGAGAGGGCACUCACAUGGAUAGUCAGGUGACCAGACCUGAAUUGCCACCUCCGGUCUCAAGAUCCCAUUGACUUGUACCUUUCUAAACUCCCUCAGAAUCCUUUUGACUCUCCCUUAGUUGGGACUCACUCUUGGCUGGACUGCUACAACCACCUGUCAUCAGCUGCCACCUCAGCCCCUGCCAUACUUAUCUCCCACAAAGCUGUCAAUUCAGAAUGAUUCUAACAUGCAAAUCUGAAUAAACCCCUUUAAUGGUCCCCUGGGACCUUUAGCCCUGGCUCUCAGCCUAGGCUGGGAAUCACCUGGAGAGCUUUUAACCCUCUCUGAACACCAGGUCCCACAGUCUGAGAUUCAGACUAAAGAUGUUUUUAGUUUUUAAAGCUCCCCAGAUGAUUCUAAUGUGCAGCCAGGGUUGGAAACUGCUGGCCUCUCAGAGUGCAGUUUCUCCAGCAGGGUGUCCAGAGACCCUAUGUCAUUCUUUCAGCAAAUAAUGACUAAGCCCCUGCUCCAUGCUGGACUUCUCCCAGGCGCUGAGGUUAUAAUGAAUCCUAUUUAGGCUCCUUAUGAAGUUGUGGUCCAUCAGGAUCAAUUGAGCCCUUCGUGUUUUAAGACUACUUCUGCCUCCUUCCACCUCCUCCUCUGUUCUAGUUACCAUGACAGAUUUGGGAUUCCCCAAACUUGCCCUGCUCUGACCUCAAGAUCUAUCUCUUCACCCAAAAUUCUAGCCCUCAGCUUCCUGGCCUAGCUAAGACAACUUGAGAACCACUUCCUCUGAAAAGCCCCCACCUAAACUCACCACCCUCCAUCUGCCCAUGUGACCUCUGCAGCCAUCCCUGGUACCUAGUCCCUACUGCCCCUGUCAUGGCACCUUUCGUUUUUUUGGUGCGCUCACCAGCUCACAGGCAGACUAUGACUAAGCCAUCUCUGAAGCUCCAGUGGAGGUGCUGAACAACUCUUGGGUGAAUCCAUAAUGAACAAAUCUAAACAGCCCUGAGGAGGGUGUGGAUGUGAGGCAACUGCACAGGGCAGAUGUGGAAUGAGAGGAGACUCGGUUUCAGAAGGUGGAGGCGGCCAGCUUCUCAGGAGGUUCAGAAGAGGUAGUCCUGUAACACCCAUCAAAGCUGCGUGAGUGGUGGCAGCCUACUGCCUAGUUCCCCUGUGGGGUGAAAAUAAUGGGAUCUUGAACACUCACUUGCAUACGGCUUUGCAGGGUGGAUGUCAAGAGUGUAGAUGGAGGCCUACAUACUAUGUAUCUGAAAACCUCAGAGUUACAAAAUAAGCCAACAACUGUUGAAUAUGGUUUGUUUUCUAUUCUAUCCUAUCCUCUUCUUUACCUUGAUAAACAUACCUUCCUAAUGGCCUGGAAGCUAAUUGGAAUUCUCAGAGUUCUUGGGAAUGUGGUGGCACAAGAACUAGACCCCGGCCCUUAGACUUCUCUUUCUACUGAUAGUAAGCAGAACAAGGCCCUUCCAGUGUCCAUACCCUAAUCCUGAGAACCUAUGAAUAUAUUUGUUGAGAGCCACAGCCAAGUCGGAAUGGCCGCUGGCAUUUUGCCAGAAGGAAUGGUUUCGAGGUGACCCCAGGGAGCCAUUAAGAUGAUGGUAAUUAAGUUAAGCUGUGUAUAAUUGCUGUGAAUGGAUGAUGCUGGAUUGAAACAGGCUGUGUAUUAAUUUGUAGAUAGACCCCUGCUGUCCGGCAAUAGGGCGGCUCCUGCUGCCUCACUACUUUUGAGUUCUCGAGGAGUUCCCAGUUGAGUUCCGGUUGAGCUCUCGGGGAUUCCUGGAGAGUUCGAGUUGGUUGGUGAAGUUCCGGUGGAGGGAGUUCCGUUUGGUGUGUGGUGUUCCUGGGAAUUUGGGCAAUAAAGGAGUUCCUGUUUGAACCUACAAGUGCCUCAUGGCGGCUCCAUUAUUUUGUGCCCAGCCAGACUGCGGCAUAUAUUAUCUUAAUAUGACAAGGGAGAUUAAAAUUCCUAGUCAUCUAACCCACAAAACAGGGAGAUUAUCCUGGAUUAUCAAAUGGGCUCAAUGUAAUCACAAAGAUCUAAAAGUGAAAAGAGGGAACAGGGGUCAGCCAGGAGAAUGCCAAUCAAUACUUUUGAUUAUAGCCCACUGAGACCCAUUUUUUUUUUUUAUUGGUACCGGGGGAUUCAACUCAGGGGUACUCAACCACUGAGCCACACCCCCAGCCCUAUUCUGUAGUUUUUACUGAGUUGCUUAGCACCUCACAGUUGCUGAGGCUGGCUUUGAACUCACAGUUCUCCUGUCUCAGUCUCCCAAGCUGCUGGGAUUACAGGCAUUUGCCACCACACUGAGCCACUGAGAUCUAUUUGGAUUUUUUCUUUAAUUAGGUAUUAAAUCCAGGGGUGCUUUACCGCUGAGCUACAUUCCCACACCUUUUUAAUUUUUAUUUUGAGAUAAGGUCUCACUAAAAGUUACCUAAGCCAGCCUCAAACUUUCAAUCCUCCUGCCUCAGGCUCCUAAAUCCCUGGAAUUACAGAUGUGUGCCACCACACCCAGAUCUGUUUUAGACUUCUGAUCUCUAAAAUGAGAUAAUAACUUUGUGGUAACUCUUACACAGCAGCAAUAGGAAACUAGUACACUACCCUCCCUAGUCCCCUGCAGCCUGUAAGUGCAAAGUCACACUCUCAUUAAAGUCUGCCCCUUGGCCAUUUCUUGGACCUAGGGGCACACACACCAGUGUUCUUGAGAGAAGGGACCUGGGAAGCAGCUCUGGAAAUGAGCAGGGAAUUCUGGGAUUUUGGCAUUUGCAGCCUGGUCUACCAGAGGUGUGGGCUUGGGGCUAGCCCCAUUCCUAGACCACAUAGCUCCUUACCUGCUCACUUGGGUCAAAUGGCUUCAUCUCCCUGAGCCUCAGCUGUAAAAUCAACCAUUAGGUUAUUUUUGAGCACCUUGCUUAUGCCAAAUGUUAUGCUUAGUGACAGAGAUUUGAAAAUGCUAGUCCUUGUCCGCAAGGGAUUCAGCUCCUUAUAAUUCUGACCUCACAGGCCUUCUACCCAAGAAGAGAAUGGCAGGAAAAGCAGCUAGCACAUGGUAUGCCCACAAUAAAUUUUAAAUUCUUUCCAUUUCUACUUAAUUUCAAGUAGGUAAAUGAACUGUCAAGUUACAAAAAUCCCAGGGCAGGGUGUGAAUCUAUAAUGCUUAUCUAGCACAUACAAGGCCCUGAAAUAAAAUAAAUAAAAAUCCCUUGCUCAAACUCUUUAGUGGAUUCCAUUUGCUCCUGGGAGGACACUAUGGCCCUUUGGCAAGUCUUUGCCUUGCUGUGUUCCUCCAGUCUGCAAUGUUCUGUCCUUCACCCAUACCCACCCCUUUCACUAAGCCUUCCCUUUCAGGGCUUGGUUGAAAUGACAUUCUCUGAAAGAAGAACUCCUUCUCAGUUUCAGAACCUCAGUAACCAGAACUGGUUUACCUGUUAUCCUCUCUCCCAACACUAGGUAGGGUUCUCUGUAGCACUAACCACAAAGGUUACUAUAUGGCUAUUUGCAUUACCUAUUUUUGGUAAAACAUAAAAUAAAUUUAUUUUAACAAUUUAAAUUUUUCAUAUUGUUUAAAAGACUCCCAGCUAGAUGUGGUGGUGUAAGCCUGUAAUCCCAGCAGCUCAGGAGGCUUAGGCAGGAGGACUGGGUGUUCAAAGCCAGCCUCAGCAACUCAGCAAGAACCUAAGCAAUUCAGCAAGAUCUUGUCUUUAAAUAAAAUACAAAAAAAAAAAAAGGCUAGGGAUGUGGCUCAGCGGUUAAGCACCCCUGUGUUCAAUUCCUGGUACCAAAAAAAAAAAAAGAAAGAAAAAGCUCCAAAUAUAUUACAUUUUUAUAUUGUGGCAAAGUGUACAUAAAAUUUACCAUUUUCAUCAUUUGCAGGUGUGCAGUUCCAUGGCAUGGAGCACACUCACACUGCUGUGCUUCUCACCACCCUUUCUCCAAACUGUACCAUCCCAGGAUCCAACUCUGCACCGCUCCACAGAAACUCCCUAACUGCUUCCUCACAGGAUGCCUGGCAACAGGGGUUCUACUUCCUGUCUCUGUGACUUACUGUAGGUACUUCAUACAACUGGAACCAUCUAGCAUUUGGCCUGCUGUGACUGGCUUAUUUCACUUAGUUUAAUGUCUUCAAGGUUCAUCCAUGAGGUAGCACAUACCAGGGUUUCAUUCCUUUUAAAAACUGAGUAAUAUUUCACUGUAUGUAUAUAGCAAAUUUUGUUUAUCUAUUCAUCUUUCAAUGAACAUCGAGUUUUUCCUACAUUUGGCUAUUAUGAAUAAUGCUUCUAUGAACAUUGGGGUACAAGUGCCUGUUCUUAAAUACCUUGGUAUAUACACCCAGCAGUAGAAGCAAUUGUGGGCAAAUGGUAAUGCUGUUAUGCUUACUAUGGAUUACUUUACAUCCACUCUUCAGUGUUAUGUUGACAUGCUUCCUCCUGUAGCACCCAGAGGUAGGAACUCAGUCUUACUGCUGGGCCCAGCACAGGCCUGGUGCUUUGAUUAACGUUUGGGAAGGGAUGGAUGAAUGGUAAAUUUAGCUGAAGCAGAUAUAAAGAGAAGACAAGUGACAGGGUUCCUGAUGGUAAUUUUCACUCCCAGAGGUCCCAAAUAGACUGCCCACAGAGUUGUCUGGUUUUCCUCAGUUUUUGUUUUUGUUUGUUGUUGUUUUGUAGUACUGGGAAUUGAACCCAGGGGUGCUCUGCCAGUGAGCUACAUCGCAGCCCUUUUGGGAACAGGGUCUCAUUAAACUACAGAAGCUAGCCGCAAUCUUGAGAUUCUCCAGCCUCAGCCUCCCAAGUAGCUGGGAGUACAGGUGGUGUUGUUUUUUAAAUUUUCUAACUUUCUUGCCUGGGGCUCACCCUUCCUACAGCCUCACACCAGAAGCCAUUAGGUUAGAGCCCAAGUAUCUAUGCUUCAAGGUUCCUCUUCAGGCGACAGAAAACUUUUAGUCAGAAGGAACAGUGUUAGAAUUCAAGCUCCAUCACUUCUUGGUGAUGACCCUAAGUCUCUUUCCUCAUGUGUAAAAUGGGAAUAUUGUAUAAUGCAUACAUCAACUAUAAAGAUUAACCCAAAUAUAUGAAGGGUCCAGAACAAAGGAGAUCUGUCAAUAAAUAUUAGUUCUUUCUUAUCUCCUCCUCUGAGCUUUCUCUGUGGCCCCCAAAUCCCUGUGAGCUCAGCUGGUAGGCAUGACAAUCUGACCACCAUGAGAGCAAUUUCUAAAACAGACCAGGAGUGGGAGGUAGUUCAGUGGUAGAUCACUUGCCUAGCACCAGUCAGACCGUGGGUUUGAUCCCUAGCACAAAAAUGAAUAAAACAAAGAUUAAAGGAACAUGUUCUAGAGCUCAGGAAUUCACCACACAUAAUUCUCUCCACAGAUGCUUAGUUCACAAUUAGGGCUGUGAGACUUUUUACUAUAUCCCAGAUCAACAUUAGCCACAUUGACAAUCUCUGACCACAUCUACAAGGAUAACAGGAACAACUCACAAGCACAGUGUUAGAGCAUGCACAGAAGUUUCACGCACAGUAGCCCCCCCUUGUCUGUGGAGUGUAUGUUCUAAGACUUCUUGCCUGAAACUGAGGUGAGUAUUGAACCCUAUAAAUACUUUGUUUUUCCUACACAUACAUAUCUAUGAUAAAGUUUAAUUAAUAGAUUAGGCAUGGUAAGAGAUUAACAAUAAUAAAAUAGAAUAAACAAUGU
rnacentral:lncRNA from 1 species